rnacentral:lncRNA from 1 species
ACAAAAAGAAAGUGAUUAUCUCAGGGAACCACUGUGAAGGAAUGAAAUUGAAAUUGGUUGUCCAAUUAGGCCUGACCUCUGUGGUAUGAAUGAGACAAGCCCCCAGGCAGUGGAGUUUGGUCAGAGGCUGUCCGUGGAAGGAACAUUACCAUGAAAUUGCUCUGGAUCCUCUGAGGAAUCCUGAAGCUCCACAGUUGGAUGCAUUUUUUUUCUGUGGUUUCUGCAUUGUCCCUGUUCCAGUUCACCCUUGACCCAGGGAGAGAGAUGGAUGGUGAAGUAGUGAUGGUGAAGGUGGAAAUGAGGAAUUUGCCCCUCAUCAUUCUUAAACUCUUACACCCUUUCUGGACAUGUGUUUGGAUAGGAAAGUGUGGAAGGGAAGGAGGGAGACUGAGGGUGGCUCAGCUCACAUAUAAUUUCCUAGAGACACAGUAAGCUACACAUGAGGGUGGUCCUAGACUUCUGGCUACUCCCUGACCAUAAUAAUAACAGCACUUACUGAAUGCCCACCCCGUGUCUGCCAGCAGGGAGCUGGAGGAGAAAGCAUCUCUGCAUUAGGGGCUCCAGACAGAGACAUGAGACAAUGGAGAUGGUACCAAGAAGUGCAGUUUGGACAUCAAACAUGAAUCGUUGGUUUGUGAGUGUGCUGAUGGGGGCUAUGUCAGACAACUGAGCAACAUUUUAUGUUGUUUACAGGGCCUUAAAUUUUAUACAAAUUGAAUUAAUGUUUAGCUCCACCUUGUAAAUGACCACCUGCUCCCUGGCUUGUUUUUUCUUCUUCAGGAUCAGCAUCUCUGCAGAUCAAAGAGCUCCUGCUGCCUUCCUUCCCUCUCUGAGUCUUCGUCUUCCUCCUGGCUAUGCUCAUCAUCCACUUUCUGG